rnacentral:siRNA from 1 species
UAGCAUUUCCUCUUCAAGUACUCCA